UACAGAGGUCCCAAGCGUUGUUCGGAAUUACUGGGCGUAAAGGGCGCGUAGGCGGUCCGCUAAGUUGGAUGUGAAAACUCUGGGCUUAACCCAGAGCCUGCAUUCAAAACUGACGGGCUAGAGUUCUGGAGGGGGUAGCGGAAUUCCUGGUGUAGCGGUGAAAUGCGUAGAUAUCAGGAGGAACACCGGUGGCGAAGGCGGCUACCUGGACAGAAACUGACGCUGAGGCGCGAAAGCUAGGGGAGCAAACAGG
rnacentral:rRNA from 1 species